rnacentral:rRNA from 1 species
UAUUGCACAAUGGGCGCAAGCCUGAUGCAGCCAUGCCGCGUGUGUGAAGAAGGCCUUCGGGUUGUAAAGCACUUUCAGUCAGGAGGAAAGGUUAGUAGUUAAUACCUGCUAGCUGUGACGUUACUGACAGAAGAAGCACCGGCUAACUCCGUGCCAGCAGCCGCGGUAAUACGGAGGGUGCGAGCGUUAAUCGGAAUUACUGGGCGUAAAGCGUACGCAGGCGGUUUGUUAAGCGAGAUGUGAAAGCCCCGGGCUCAACCUGGGAACUGCAUUUCGAACUGGCAAACUAGAGUGUGAUAGAGGGUGGUAGAAUUUCAGGUGUAGCGGUGAAAUGCGUAGAGAUUUGAAGGAAUACCGAGGCGAAGGCAGCCACCUGGGUCAACACUGACGCUCAUUACGAAA